CCGACGGUGAGAGGUGAAAGCUGGGGGAGCAAACCGGAUUAGAUACCCGGGUAGUCCCAGCCGUAAACGAUGUGCGUUAGGUGUAUCGGUGACCACGAGUCACCGAGGUGCCGAAGAGAAAUCGUGAAACGUACCGCCUGGGAAGUACGGUCGCAAGGCUGAAACUUAAAGGAAUUGGCGGGGAGCACCACAACAGGUGGAGCCUGCGGUUUAAUCGGACUCAACGCCGGGAAACUCACCAGAUAAGACAGCUGAAUGAUAGUCGGGCUGAAGACUCUACUUGACUAGCUGAGAGGAGGUGCAUGGCCGUCGUCAGUUCGUACUGUGAAGCAUCCUGUUAAGUCA
rnacentral:rRNA from 1 species